AUUGAACGCUGGCGGCAUGCUUUACACAUGCAAGUCGAACGGCAGCGCGGGCUUCGGCCUGGCGGCGAGUGGCGAACGGGUGAGUAAUGCAUCGGAACGUGCCCAGGAGUGGGGGAUAGCCCGGCGAAAGCCGGAUUAAUACCGCAUACGACCUGAGGGUGAAAGCGGGGGACCGAAAGGCCUCGCGCUAUUGGAGCGGCCGAUGUCGGAUUAGCUAGUUGGUGGGGUAAAGGCUUACCAAGGCGACGAUCCGUAGCUGGUCUGAGAGGACGACCAGCCACACUGGGACUGAGACACGGCCCCGACUCCUACGGGAGGCAGCAGUGGGGAAUUUUGGACAAUGGGGGCAACCCUGAUCCAGCCAUGCCGCGUGCGGGAAGAAGGCCUUCGGGUUGUAAACCGCUUUUGUUCGGGAAGAAAUCCUCUGGGCUAAUACCCCGGGGGGAUGACGGUACCGGAAGAAUAAGCACCGGCUAACUACGUG
rnacentral:rRNA from 1 species